GACAUUUGAUCUCUACAAGAAGGUUUUCUAAACGGAACGGUGGUAGCAAUGACCCUAAAUAUGAUUUCAACUAUUUAUCCUUGCCUACGAUUCAAAUUUGUUUGAGUGGUGAUCUUAAUCCUCGCAUGUUGAUUGGUACCUAAAAUAAUGAUGGUGAGGAAAAUGAAGAUGUGAACAUUACGGAGAAGAAGUUCGACUCAAAGAACUUGUUUGGUGUUAAGGUCAAGAUUGAGAAGGAGUAAUUGGUGCUCUGUUUUGGAGUUGAAGUUUGGUAUUUUAGGGUCAAACUUAAUGUGCUCACCG